UACGUAGGUGGCAAGCGUUAUCCGGAAUUAUUGGGCGUAAAGCGCGCGUAGGCGGCGAGAUUAGUCUGAUGUGAAAGCCCCCGGCUCAACCGGGGAAGUUCAUUGGAAACUGUUUAGCUUGAGUGCAGAAGAGGAGAGUAGAAUUCCAUGUGUAGCGGUGAAAUGCGCAGAGAUAUGGAGGAACACCAGUGGCGAAGGCGACUUUCUGGCCAUAAACUGACGCUGAGGUGCGAAAGCGUGGGUAGCAAACAGG
rnacentral:rRNA from 1 species